GUCGUAACAAGGUUUCCGUAGGUAAACCUGCGGAAGGAUCAUUACAAGCAGUAUCCACACACUUCGUGCACGCAAAUGUGUGAGGCACGGCUCGUACACAUGAACCGUGCUUCGUUGGGUUGCAUCGAGUGCGGGCCCCAUCCUUGGCGCGCGUGCUCAUGUAGCUCCUCGAGCAACUUAUGUUUACAUGAAAUGAAUUAUUUUCCCCAACCUAACAACUUCCAGCGACGGAUGUCUUGGUUCAAAUAACGAUGAAGGGCGCAGCGAAGUGCGAUAAGCACUGCGAACUGCAGAAUUCCGUGAGCCAAUAGAAUGUUGAACGCAAGUUGCGCUGCCAACCCCUGUUGACAGCAUGCCCAUUUCAGAUUCUUCAAGCGUUGUUCCAACUUGUUGUGAGAUUCCUUGCUUGCCAACGAGCUGUUGACCAGCAUCGCGUGUCAAGCUUACCUGCGUACGCUGGAUCGAUGCUAUAACUACUAGAAUUUGCGCUCGCGCGAUUUGAAGUUAUGCAUUGUAUCAUUUGCAGCCGCGGUGCAUGCCAAGAAUUUCAGAAAUGAAAUUGGGUAAGUAAACCCGCCGAAUUUAAGCAUAUAAGUAAGCGGAGUGAUAAGAAACUAAAGAGGAUUCCGUGAGUAAUGGCGAAUGAACUCGGAGCAGCUCAAAGUGGAAAUCAGGGCCCGCGGCCUUGAAUUGUAAUUUGUAACUGCGUUGCCAACGCGGGCGCAAAUACAAGUCGCUUGGAAGAGCGCACCACAGAGGGUGAGAGUCCCGUCUUUAAUUUGCAGCCCCGUGUGUACGGCACGCUGUGCAGAGUCACGUUCCUUGGGAAUGGAGCGCAAAGUGGGUGGUAAAUUUCAUCUCAAGCUAAAUAUGAAUUUGAGACCGAUAGCAAACAAGUACCAUGAGGGAAAGGUGAAAAGUACUUUGAAAAGAGAGUUAAAAGUGCCUGAAAUUGCUGGAAGGGAAGCGAAAGGAACCAGCCUUCAUGGUAAGAUUGUCGUGUGAGCUUUAUAGCCGCACAAUGCAUCUGGCCAUGGCAAUCGUCGGUGGUUUCCAGCCGGGGAUACACACAUCUCUUCUUAGCUUCUUUCGAGAUUGCGGAAUUGAUGCCUAAACCCGUUUGGCGACCAUAUACUAUCCGGAGUUGUUGCUAGCUUCGCGCUUGCAUCUAACCUGGAUGCUCGACGAUCAAAUGGUUCUUCUCGACCCGUCUUGAAACACGGACCAAGGAGUCUAGCAACUGUGCGAGUUCAUGGGAUCCAAUCCUAUUUUCGCAACGAAAGUGACUGCUGAGAUAUUUCCACCAGCAACCGACCAAUCAAUUGAGUGCGGUUUGAGUAUAAGCAUAUUUGUUAGGACCCGAAAGAUGGUGAACUAUGCGUGA
rnacentral:rRNA from 1 species